UGUAUAUGUUGUUUAACCACUUUAAUUUUAUUAAUCAAAACUGAGCUAUGAGUAUCCAAGAUAUGGGUAUUUUGUAUCGCUGAAGACAUUGUGGUGUAUGAUGAGAUUGAUGCCUUGAGUAGUCGAUACAGAAUUUCGCAGAGAGGAGUACAUAAUUUAAAGCUUCUAUGCUCAGAUUAUUUUUUCGCUAUUAUAAAUCUGAUGCUGUCUUCUUAGCUUUUCCUUUACACAGUUAGAUGUUACGAACUUUUGUAUUGCCCUCUAUAUACUGAUAUGCUAUGCUAUCCUCGC